rnacentral:piRNA from 1 species
UUCACAAUCUCCGCCUCUGGGAUUUGAAA